rnacentral:rRNA from 1 species
CCGUAGCCCAAGAGAUCGGGAUAACACCUGGAAACAGAUGCUAAUACCGGAUAACAACAGAUGAUGCCUAUCAACUGUUUAAAAGAUGGUUCUGCUAUCACUCUUGGAUGGACCUGCGGUGCAUUAGCUAGUUGGUAGGGUAACGGCCUACCAAGGCGAUGAUGCAUAGCCGAGUUGAGAGACUGAUCGGCCACAUUGGGACUGAGACACGGCCCAAACUCCUACGGGAGGCAGCAGC